rnacentral:misc_RNA from 1 species
UGGUUCUGGCAUCGAUGAAGAACGCAGCGAAAUGCGAUAAGUAAUGUGAAUUGCAGAAUUCAGUGAAUCAUCGAAUCUUUGAACGCACAUUGCGCCCCUUGGUAUUCCGGGGGGCAUGCCUGUUCGAGCGUCAUUACACCCCUCAAGCCUGGCUUGGUGUUGGGCCGCGCCGCUAACCCGGCGGGCCCUAAAACGAGUGGCAGAGCUUCCACAGCCCUAAGCGUAGUAAUCAUCCUCGCUAUAGGGACGUGGGGGCGCCCGCCAGCAACCUAACUUUUUUCAAGUUUGACCUCGGAUCAGGUAGGGAUACCCGCUGA